rnacentral:rRNA from 1 species
UGCCUUAGCCAUAUCACCCUGCAGCCCAAGACCGGUUACUCACUGAAGCUAAGCAGGGCUGAGCCUGGUCAGUACCUGGAUGGGAGACCACUAGGGAACACUAGGUUGCUGUUGGAA